CGCUGCCACCCACCGGCUCAGAAUCUUAAUCUCCUCUGUCUAGAUUUAAAGCUCCUGGAGCGGUCCCUGGAAUCCAAGCAAGGUGGAGGGAGGAGCAGGAAUGCCCCAUCCUGGGACUGACCGGACCGCUCCCUGGGACCCUUUCUGGGAAAAGCCAAGUCUACUGUGAGAAUCCAGGAUGGGCGGCGGGGUGGAGGUACAGCAGCACUCUCGGCAUCCUUCCAUUCCCAGGGCAAUUUGCUCCCUCCAUCAUGCCCAGCCCCCGCUCCCCCCAGCUCACCUCGGGGGCCUCAGACUCUCCAUCCUGGUCCAGCGGCAGCAGUGAGGACCCUGCCACCAAGCUCGCUGUUGUUUGCUGCAUCUGUGUGUGGACCAGGGAGUCCUCUGCUGGCAAGGCCUCUGGAACCGUCCCCUCCACCCCUGGCAGGGAGCCGCUGAGGCCAUGGGGUGGCUAACUGCUGCUAGAUACUUACACCAGGACGUCCCUUGGACAAUGAUUCCAACCCCACUCAAGGACAUAGCAUCCCCAGACACCCGCUGCCCGUGCCUGGCAUCUCUGCCCCAUCCUGGUCUCCCACUUGCUCUUGAAGAUCCUCUGGGGUCCUCACUGCCUCCUUUUCCACGUUGACGCAGCGAGAGGAAAUGGUGAGGAGCGGGGCGCUGAGGGCCUGUGGCGGCAGCUCAGGUGUAGCCCACCAGGCGCGGGGUGCAGGGGAAGGUCUUGCGCAUGCC